UCCACUUGCCCCUACGAUCGUUUUGAGGAGGAAGGAUCCUUUUCAGCACCAUAUCACCCAUGUGAUAUACCCGAGAUCGUACCUUUCUGUCAAAAGCACGCUUCGUCCGCUGUUGGUACAACUGCCCAUGACAGAUGGCUGCCAGCCUCUUCUCUUCAAUUAGGCUCAACUCCUCAUACCGGGUCCUUACCCAUUCAGCCUCUUGCAACUUUACGUCCAUCAGGACUCUCAAAGAGGGAAUCUGAACCUCAACCGGUAGCACCACUUC
rnacentral:lncRNA from 1 species